GAUGAACGCUGGCGGUAUGCUUAACACAUGCAAGUCGAACGGACUCUUCGGAGUUAGUGGCGGACGGGUGAGUAACGCGAGAGAAUCUGGCUUUGGGUUCGGGACAACCACUGGAAACGGUGGAUAAUACCGGACGAGUCGAGAGAUAACAGAGAAAUUGCCAGAAGAUGAGCUAGCGUCUGAUUAGCUAGUUGGUGAGGUAAAGGCUCACCAAGGCAGCGAUCAGUAGGUGGUCUGAGUGAAUGACCAGCCACACUGGGACUGGAAGACGGCCCAGGGUACUACGGGAGGUAGCAGGAAGGAAUUUUCCGCAAUGGGCGAAAGCCUAACGAAGCAAUACGGCGUGAAAGAAGAGUUCUUUGGGAAGGUAAACCUCUAGACUGAGAGAAGAACAAAAUGACGGUACCUAAGGAAUCAGCAUCGGCUAACUCCGUG
rnacentral:rRNA from 1 species